rnacentral:lncRNA from 1 species
AUCAAUCUCACAGUGUCCUCUCCUGUGAAAUAUAAUUGCAUCCUACCAGCAGGAUCCUCCCUCCUCAUUGAUUACCUCCUCCCUUUAUUUCUUACUGAUUUAUUUCUCCCAUUCUCAGCUUUAAUUAAUGCUGAUUUUUGUUCUUUUUUUCAGACAUUCAGAAACUCCAAAACAAGUGAUGAGAGACAGCUGCAUGCACCCAUAGUCUUAUGGAGAGAGUUGUUCCAUGUCACCGAGAACAAACUCAUCAUUUUGCCUGCAGCGCAGCUACUGACUUUUAGAUACUGUUUCCCCUCCUUGCCUUGGCCCAACCUCAGCUUUGGGGAAAGUCUCCUCAGAGUCAUCUUCCCUCUUCGUCUUCGAAAGCGCUCGCCAAAUCUCUCUUCCCACUGCUGAAGGACUAAAGCUACCUCCUCUCUGCAUCAUGGGACAGUAAAUAACUGCA